rnacentral:rRNA from 1 species
UACAGAGGUCCCGAGCGUUUGUUCGGAUUUAUUGGGCGUAAAGGGUGCGUAGGCGGCGGAGUAAGUUGGGUGUGAAAUCCCGGGGCUAACCUCGGAAUGGCAUUCAAUACUGCUUCGCUUGAGUACUGGAGAGGAGGCUGGAAUUUACGGUGUAGCAGUGAAAUGCGUAGAUAUCGUAAGGAAGGCCGGUGGCGAAAGCGAGCCUCUGGACAGUUACUGACGCUGAUGCACGAAGGCCAAGGGGAGCAAACGGG